rnacentral:rRNA from 1 species
UACCAGCACCCCGAGUGGUCGGGACGAUUAUUGGGCCUAAAGCAUCCGUAGCCGGUUUUACAAGUCCUCCGUUAAAUCCAGCUGCUUAACAGAUGGGCUGCGGAGGAUACUAUAAGACUAGGAGGCAGGAGAGGCAAAGCGGUACUCAGUGGGUAGGGGUAAAAUCCGUUGAUCCAUUGAAGACCACCAGUGGCGAAGGCGGCUUGCCAGAAUGCGCUCGACGGUGAGGGAUGAAAGCUGGGGGAGCAAACCGG